rnacentral:rRNA from 1 species
GAUGAACGCUAGCUACAGGCUUAACACAUGCAAGUCGAGGGACCGGCGCACGGGUGAGUAACACGUCUCCCUCCUUCCCUUUACCCUGGGAUAGCCUUUCGAAAGUAAGAUUAAUACCCGAUCUAAAGGAUGGGGAUGCGUUCGAUUAGGUUGUUGGUGAGGUAACGGCACACCAAGCCUUCGAUGGAUAGGGGUUCUGCGAGGAAGGUCCCCUAAGUUGGAAAGGAGACACGGUCCAAACUGCUACGGGAGGCAGCAGAUAGGAAUAUUGGGGAAGGAGGGCUAGCCUGAACCAGCCAAGUAGCGUGAAGGAUGAAGGGUUAUGGGUCGUAAGUUUCUUGUAUAUAAGAAGAUGUAUUAUAUGAAUAAGGAUCGGCUAACUCCGUGCCAGCAGCCGCGGUAAUAC